UUUUUCCUACAAGUCACAUUUGAUCCCCUCUUUCCAAAAAUGUAACUUUCAUUCACCAAAACUUCACCAAGCAAAAUGGCCUUUUUGAACUUGCCUUAAUUAAUUUCAAGUGAGUUGAAUUUGACUUUUCAAAAUAAUCAUUUUUAAACCACUUGGCCAAUUGAAAUAGUUCAGAAAUGUGGUUUGUGUCAUGUUUGAAAGCCCAAAUUCGUGCAGUACAUACAGCCAUGCCAACUUGCUUGAAAAUUG
rnacentral:lncRNA from 1 species